ACGGGAGGCAGCAGUGAGGAAUAUUGGUCAAUGGGCGGGAGCCUGAACCAGCCAAGUAGCGUGGAGGAUGACGGCCCUACGGGUUGUAAACUCCUUUUGCCGGGGGAUAAAAAACGGGACGUGUCCCGUCUUGCAGGUACCAAUCGAAUAAGGAUCGGCUAACUCCGUGCCAGCAGCCGCGGUAAUGCGGAGGAUCCGAGCGUUAUCCGGAUUUAUUGGGUUUAAAGGGUGCGUAGGCGGGCUGUUAAGUCAGCGGUGAAACCCCCGGGCUCAACCCGGGGACUGCCAUUGAAACUGGCGGCCUAGAGUACGUUGGGAGUGCGCGGAAUGUGUGGUGUAGCGGUGAAAUGCAUAGAUAUCACACAGAACACCGAUCGCGAAGGCAGCGCACUACGCCGCAACUGACGCUGAGGCACGAAGGCGCGGGGAUCGAACAGGAUUAGAUACCCUGGUA
rnacentral:rRNA from 1 species